GUGCUCAGUUUGACAGCAUGUAUACUAAAAUUGGAAUGAUACAGACAUAAUUAGCAUGGGCUCUGUGCAAGGAUGACACACAAAUCUGUGAAGUAUUCCUUAUUUUA
ensembl:snRNA U6 U6 spliceosomal RNA